rnacentral:rRNA from 1 species
AUGGCUGUCGUCAGCUCGUGUCGUGAGAUCGUUGGGUUAAGUCCCGUAACGAGCCGCAACCCUUGUCCUUAGUUACCAGCACGUUAUGGUGGGCACUCUAAGGAGACUGCCGGUGACAAACCGGAGGAAGGUGGGGAUGACGUCAAGUCAUCAUGGCCCUUACGGCCUGGGCUACACACGUGCUACAAUGGUCGGUACAAAGGGUUGCCAAGCCGCGAGGUGGAGCUAAUCCCAAUAAAACCGAUCGUAGUCCGGAUCGCAGUCUGCAACUCGACUGCGUGAAGUCGGAAUCGCUAGUAAUCGUGAAUCAGAAUGUCACGGUGAAUACGUUCCCGGGCCUU